GUAUAGAUACAUGGUCAUAAUGUGAUCCUCUCUCAGGCCUCUGUGGAGCCUGGUGCUGAUGUCACCUACAGCUCCAUUGUCCUGUCAGACCCAGAGGUGUCCUCUAGAUGUUCUUCACAGCGUCCUGCUGUAACCCCAGCCAGCGAUGUGGUCUACAGCUCAGUCGCCCUGAAGCACAGAGAGUAGGGGGCAGCAACACAGAGAGGUUCCUUUACAUGUGGGGAGCUGCUGCUCAGGAUGAGAGCUGUGAGGGACACGCAGAUACUGCAGUGAUGGGGAGGGAUCAUCACCAGAGAGGAGCAUCUUACAGUGAUGUCAGCUGUGUUUAAAUGGAAUGCAGCACUGUCACAUUACAGUGUGACAGUAAGAAUCAGCCAGUGAGAAACAGACAUUCAUGGCUGUUGUGCAUCUGAACCAUGAUCAAGGUGCUAUUUGAAAAAAGCAUCUGCUAAAUAAGAUAAAUGUAAAUGUGAGGUAUUAUACUGGUGGUCUGUUGCUUCCUCAUUUGUAAUAAUGGAAAACUCUCAUUAGCAAUUCUAGUUGAGCUGUAUGUAUGAAAUGUUUGAUAUGAAAUGUUUGAUACCAUAAUGUUCAGUAUUUUGAGAAAAUAUUAGCCGAUGUCUGCCUUUCUCUUGUGUAUACAGUGUAUGUCCUGGUGAGGGGUUUACUGAGGUCUAUGGGCUCUGACUUUAAUUUUAUGCUCUUCUUACGCACUUCACUGCCCCCUGCUGGAGCAGUUUCACUGUUUUUCUGCCUCCCUGCUCUCCUCUGACUGUGGAAUUAAAAGCUGCACUGUUGCUGUUAUAUUAUGUCUGAGAACAAAAGCUUUACUUUUAGGUUUCUACAGAAUGUUAGGCUUUUGUUUACUGAUAAAUGGAGUAUUACUGAAAAUGCAGAACACAGCCUGUGACUCGUCAUACACACUGUUAAUAAAAAUGUUUUUCAUUCCUCCUG